AUCACCUUAACGGGGAGCUGAGACGAUCGCUCGGCUGAGAGGAAGGCGCGACGGCCUUCGACCCGCUGAACCUGUCUGGAUAAUGCCAGCGUAGGGAGUGCGUUUUCGCAAUCA
rnacentral:ncRNA from 2 species